CAAAUUAUAAUCUUAUUUAUAAAGUUCUAGAUAGGCACCAUCUUGUUCUCUGUUUUUACAGUGUUCAUAGAAUCAUAGAAUGGUUUGGAUUGGAAGAGACCUUUAAGACCAUCUGGUUCCAACCCCCCUGCUAUAGGCAGGGACACCUCCCACUAGAACAGGUUGCUUAAAGCCCCAUCCAGCCUGGCCUUGAAAUCCUCCUAAGUGAUGCUUACAAUGGAAUCAUAACUAAUGACAGAAGUUGCAGGUUGGAACAUUUAAGUGAAUUCGUUUCCAUGAGAACAGAUUGCUGAAGAAAUCAUUCAGCUUACAUUUUAUCAGACUGCUGAAUGAACUCUGGAUUUUUUUUGCAGUUCUAGGAGACCUUGUUGCUGUUGACACUGAAGCCGAGGCAAAAGAGAAUGCUGGGAAGAAGGAUACAAGCAGCUGCUCUGGAAGGAAAGAGCAGAUCCAGAGCUUUGGCAGAGCCCUAACCUACUGCACCAUGUUUGGCCCUAGUGCUGAGGCCUUUUCCUUUGGGCAGCGCUAUGCAAUCACUGGCACUUGCCCAGAGGCUGAGGAGAAGCAGGACUUGAUGUUGUUUCUCCUUUUUUUUUUUUUUUUUCUUUUUUUCCUGCAGUUCCUUGGCAGUGAAAAAAGUCUGUGUGGACCCACCACUUGGGG
rnacentral:lncRNA from 1 species